AACAGGAUUAGAUACCCUGGUAGCCCACGCUGUAAACGAUGGUGCUAGCCGUUGGGCCUUAGGUCUCGGUGGCGUAGCUAACGCGUUAAGCACCCCGCCUGGGGAGUACGGUCGCAAGAUUAAAACUCAAAGAAAUUGACGGGGACCCGCACAAGCGGUGGAACAUGUGGUUUAAUUCGAGGCAACGCGAAGAACCUUACCAGGCCUUGACAUGCUCUCUAUGGCUUCCCGAAAAGGAAGCCUUCACUUCGGGUGGGAGAUGCACAGGUGCUGCAUGGCUGUCGUCAGCUCGUGUCGUGAGAUGUUGGGUUAAGUCCCGCAACGAGCGCAACCCUCAUUCCUUGUUGCUAACAGGUUAGGCUGAGAACUCUAGGAAAACUGCCGGUGAUAAGCCGGAGGAAGGUGGGGAUGACGUCAAGUCCUCAUGGCCCUUACGGCCUGGGCUACACACGUGUUACAAUGGCAGUGACAAUGCGCCGCUAACCCGCGAGGGUACGCUAAUCGCAAAAAGCUGUCUCAGUUCGGAUUGUACUCUGCAACUCGAGUACAUGAAGUUGGAAUCGCUAGUAAUCGUGGAUCAGCACGCCACGGUGAAUACGUUCCCGGGUCUUGUACACACCGCCCGUCACACCAUGGGAGUUGGUUCUCCUUAAGCCGUAUAGCUAACCGCAAGGGGGCGUCGACCACGGC
rnacentral:rRNA from 1 species